GACGAACGCUGGCGGCGUGCUUAACACAUGUAAGUCGAACGGAAAGGCCCUGCUUUUGUGGGGUGCUCGAGUGGCGAACGGGUGAGUAACACGUGAGUAACCUGCCCUUGACUUUGGGAUAACUUCAGGAAACUGGGGCUAAUACCGGAUAGGGGCUCCUGCUGCAUGGUGGGGGUUGGAAAGUUUCGGCGGUUGGGGAUGGACUCGCGGCUUAUCAGCUUGUUGGUGGGGUAGUGGCUUACCAAGGCUUUGACGGGUAGCCGGCCUGAGAGGGUGACCGGCCACAUUGGGACUGAGAUACGGCCCAGACUCCUACGGGAGGCAGCAGUGGGGAAUAUUGCACAAUGGGCGGAAGCCUGAUGCAGCAACGCCGCGUGCGGGAUGACGGCCUUCGGGUUGUAAACCGCUUUCGCCUGUGACGAAGCGUGAGUGACGGUAAUGGGUAAAGAAGCACCGGCUAACUACGUG
rnacentral:rRNA from 1 species